UGUUCUGUAGCUUAGUUGGUUAAAGCGCCGGACUAGCGAUAACGGAGUCGUGGGUUCAAAUCCCACCAAAACAA
rnacentral:tRNA from 1 species